rnacentral:rRNA from 1 species
AUUGAACGCUGGCGGCAUGCCUUACACAUGCAAGUCGAACGGCAGCACGGGAGCAAUCCUGGUGGCGAGUGGCGAACGGGUGAGUAAUAUAUCGGAACGUGCCCAGUCUGGGGAUAACGUAGCGAAAGCUACGCUAAUACCGCAUACGAUCUACGGAUGAAAGCGGGGGAUCGCAAGACCUCGCGCGAUUGGAGCGGCCGAUAUCAGAUUAGGUAGUUGGUGAGGUAAAGGCUCACCAAGCCGACGAUCUGUAGCUGGUCUGAGAGGACGUCCAGCCACACUGGGACUGAGACACGGCCCAGGACUCCUAC